rnacentral:rRNA from 1 species
UACGGAGGGAGCUAGCGUUGUUCGGAAUUACUGGGCGUAAAGCGCACGUAGGCGGCUUUUUAAGUCAGGGGUGAAAUCCCGGGGCUCAACCCCGGAACUGCCCUUGAAACUGGAGAGCUAGAAUCUUGGAGAGGCGAGUGGAAUUCCGAGUGUAGAGGUGAAAUUCGUAGAUAUUCGGAAGAACACCAGUGGCGAAGGCGACUCGCUGGACAGGUAUUGACGCUGAGGUGCGAAAGCGUGGGGAGCAAACAGG